GCAGUACAUAUAGCUGGCACAAAAAUAUCCUACUUGGAAAUUUUUUUCAACAUUUCUAAGAGAUUUAAGAAAAGAGUGGUACUUGAUUCAGAUAAGCAAGAAAAAAGAGAGAAAACAUGCCUAAAAGUACAAAUAUUUUUGCAAUAUAUAUAACAAAUCCUGCAAAAAUGUUUAUAUGAAACAAAACCCAAAUGCAAUCCUCAAACCAUGAACUCUUCAAAUUUCAACCUGUUUUUUGCAGACUUGGAUGAAACUGCUGAUCAAAAGGACUGAAGCUGGCACCCAAUACUCAGUAUCAGAAAACUGUUGAGAUCCCCAAUUCAUUUCACUCAAUUUCUUAGUCCACAGACAAGGAGAAACUGUGGGAGAUANNNNNNNNNNNNNUUUACUAAGUCACCUUUUCCAUCAGAAACUCAUCAUAGUUUUUUUUAAUGUCUUGAUCCUUGAGAAUCCUCAUCAGGAUUUUGCUGCUGUUGUUGAUGAUUGAAGGAAUUAAGGC
rnacentral:misc_RNA from 1 species